rnacentral:rRNA from 1 species
ACGGGUGAGUAACACGUAUCCAACCUGCCGUCUACUCUUGGACAGCCUUCUGAAAGGAAAGAUUAAUACAAGAUGGCAUCAUGAGUCCGCAUGUUCACAUGAUUAAAGGUAUUCCGGUAGACGAUGGGGAUGCGUUCCAUUAGCCAGUUGGCGGGGUAACGGCCCACCAAAGCGACGAUGGAUAGGGGUUCUGAGAGGAAGGUCCCCCACAUUGGAACUGAGACACGGUCCAA